ensembl:lncRNA
GUAAAAGCGAAGCUCUCAAUUUACCGGUUGAUCUACGAACCUACCCUCACCUAUGGCCACGAGCUGUGGGUAGUGACCGAAAGAACGAGAUCGCGGAUACAAGCGGCAGAAAUGAGCUUCCUCCGAAGGGUGGCUGGCCUCUCCCUUAGAGAUAGGGUGAGAAGUUCGGCCAUCCGGGAGGGGCUCAGAGUAGAGCAGCUGCUGCUCCACAUCGAAAGGAGCCAGCUGAGGUGGUUCGGGCAUCUGACAAGGAUGCCCCCUGGGCGCCUCCUGGGUGAGGUGUUCCAGGCAUGUCCCACCGGGAGGAGGCCCCGGGGCAGACCCAGGACACGCUGGAGAGAUUAUAUCUCUCGGCUGGCCUGGGAACGCCUUGGUGUUCCCCCGGAUAAGCUGGAGGAGGUGGCUGGGGAGAGGGAGGUCUGGGCCUCUUUGCUUAUGCUGCUGCCCCCGCGACCCGGCCUCGGAUAAAGCGGAUGAAAAUGGAUGGAUGGAUGGGUUAAAGUGGGAGCCAUAUUUACAGGCCUGAACUUGAUUGACAGCAGUGAUGGAUAGUUAAUGAAAGUCAUGGGUGGCUUUCUUGCCUGGGAAGCUCUCUUUUACAUCAUGUUGGAGGUUCAUAAUGGGAAAUCUAAGGAGAAAGGCAGUGCUAGUGUAGAAAUGGAAUCAGAAUCGGUAAAAAUUGAUGGUCUGCUGAUCGGUCUGUUCUUUCUGGGAAACAUUUGCUUUUUGGUGACACUUUUGGUUGGAAUUGGGGUGAAAUAAGAGCCCCAAAAGAAUUGUCUGAAGAAUUGUUUUUUUCUUUUGGUAUUUUAUCCAAAUACACCUGAUAGGAUAUUGUGCACUGAAAGUUUGGACCCAUUGAGAUUGUUUUCUCUUUCAGUACGCUCUUACUUGUUUUUUUUUUUUUUAUUCUUUUAGUGGAUGUUUUUGUUCGAUAUUUUCAUUAAGCUUUCAGUUUCGUGGCUAAACUUAAGUUCAAUUACUGAAGUAAAUUGGCAAUCAGUAUCUAACCAAACUCCAUUUGGUCAGAACUGAUUGUCCAUUAUAGAGUGCAAUGAUGUUUUUCCACGAGCAUUAUAAAAUUUUUAGUUGUUGAUUUUUAGGAAUCCUAGUUCCUGUUAGAGGUAAAGACCUUGUAUUUGAUUCCAUGUGAGCUGAUUUCUGUCAUCCAAUGUUUUCUUGUAUUGUGUUGUUAAGUCUUUGUCUUUGUUUCCUGUUAUGUUGCUUCCUGUUUUAUUUUGUGAGUCUCUUGUCUCUUAUGUUUUGUCCUUGGUAAGUUUAAGGUGUGCUUCAUACACCCAUGUGUUUCUAAUGCAUGUAUAGUCUCAGAUUCUCUUUGUCAUUGUGUUGGCUUACUUACAUGUGUUUCUGUGGUUUUCGUGUUUGGACUUUGACAUGCUAAUAAAAGGUCAUUUUAUGAGUUUUACCUUAAGCCUGUCUCUGACUGUUGUAUUUAAGUCGUGUGUCUUCCUCAGGCUUUGAUAAAUAUAAAGUAAAGUAAUGAAUUUUUCUGUAGGCAAGCCAAUUUAGCUA